GAGAGAGAGAGAGAGACAGGAACAACAGGGCUGGUUAUGAGAGUCCUAUUUACAGCCAGGCAGCAGUGCUGAUAGCAGAAGGAGGAACUGGCACUACAGGGUGCUUCACUUGGGGGAGGCUGGAUCAUGCUGCAAGCAGUGCUUGGGUUUCACCUGCCUGAAAUGCUUGAGAAGAUACUGGAGAUCUCUUCUGUCCUGGGCCACGCUUGUGUUCUCAUUUCUAUAAUGCUUCCUUACAACAUUAAGGGGGACAGCUGUAGGAACGAUAAUUUCUGGCAGACGGAGCUGGAGGAAUCCAGCAGUGGCAACAGGGAUAAAGGCUGUGAACUGGGGCAUGAAGAAUAGGACUGUGACAGAGAGCACAUGGUGCACUUCAUUCUAAAAUUAUUACUUCAGUCUGCAGCUUUCAUGGUUAAGAGUCAGAGAUCAUCUUGAUCAUCGCAAAACAAAGAUAACCAAGAAAAAAGUUAGGAUGAACAACCCCCUUGGAGCUAGCAUGUAAGCUACAAGCAGAAGAUGACACUGGCCUGGGGCAAGCUUGACUUGCGCAAUGACACACUAAGAGUCACAAUUUAGAGGAAUAUAACAUAUUGAAAGAACUGCUGACACACCUAGUCCUAAUGAAUUUGAGCGAUCAUUUCUCUCCGGAUUCGAGACUGAAGAUUUCCUGGAUGGCUGAAUUCUGAAACAAAAGUGGCUUUUGAAUACCUUGCUACAAGUUCUCUAUCCCUACAAUGUGCUAAGUGAAGCUCAAUAUCUGUGAUAAUGUUCACCUGACAGAAUUACAUUUUACAAUUGACUGCGUAAAUGUAGGUACCUUUACAGGUGUAAUUAAUGGCUUAACUGGAACUGAGGUGUUUCUACAAGCACAAUGUGCAUUAAAAUAUUUAUUUGCAAGUUA